rnacentral:lncRNA from 1 species
AAAGUAGUGUGGGGCAUAACAAAGAUCAAUGGCUACGAUUCAUCCUCCACUAUGAAAAUCUACGGAGGCAAACAUGUAUAAACUGGUAUACAUGGUUUUUUCUUUCCCUUUCUUCCCCACGUACACAGUCCAUUUUAAAACUUUUAGUCUCCAGCUUUGAUCUUAUUUCCCCGUCACUUGAAUUUUUAAAAGUGAGAUCAGUCAGAGUGACUCAAUUUU